UACAGAGGGGGCAAGCGUUGUUCGGAAUUACUGGGCGUAAAGGGCGCGUAGGCGGCCUUCUAAGUCGAACGUGAAAUCCCCGGGCUCAACCCGGGAACUGCGUCCGAUACUGGAAGGCUUGAAUCCGGGAGAGGGAUGCGGAAUUCCAGGUGUAGCGGUGAAAUGCGUAGAUGUCUGGAGGAACACCGGUGGCGAAGGCGGCAUCCUGGACCGGUAUUGACGCUGAGGCGCGAAAGCCAGGGGAGCAAACGGG
rnacentral:rRNA from 1 species